GGGGGGCAGCAGUCCACCACCAGCAUGUGUUUGAAAAAAGAUUCAGGUGGAGCAUCAUCUUGAUCUUCAUAUGUAGCAUUAAGGUGGAAACACUACAUGAGAUGUCAAAACAUUUACAUAAUGAAAAUAACAGCAGCAGUAGCUUCACACAUGGGAGAUUCAGGAAAAUAUACUGCACAGGACAUACAUUUAAAACCUUUUCAAAUUCAUUUGCGACAGAAUAUUUAAAGGAUCAGAUUGCAAUACCAACAUUGAAUUACAAUGAUGGCACAAAUUCAGAACCAUAAUUAAAAUUCCGUGUUGGCCACUCCACUCCCCACAGUCUGUUCUUCAUGGUGUCCGUGUGCAGACAGGCUGGAUUAGUUACAGCAAAACUCACAGAUAAAGACACAAGGGGAAAAGACUCUGUUGUAGUCCUGAGUGUGGACAGCCUGGAGGCAGCAGCAGAGGAGAGCAUGGCGAUGACACUGAACUCUGUGUGAACUCCUCUUUUGUAGUGGGCCGCAGAGCAUCUUUAGCCUUUGUUUCGUCCCCCCUGCGGUGUACAGAGGGCUCUUUGUGUCCACACACACCAGGCUUUACAAUGAUGUAUGUCCAACAAGUAAGAGAUCUCAGGGAGAGUGAGUUAUCUGACCUGCUCUCUGGACCACAAACAUCAUGACCACAAACAUCAGCCUUAAACACAAGAAUAAUUCAUUUGGCACACUUGCAUCACCUUUUGUGGUAAAGCAUAUAUUUUACAUAUCUGACCAAAAAGGUACAUAUGUUAUUAAUCCAGUUAAUUACUUACAUUAAGACACUUGUUUUUUGUAUCAUACAUUUUCUGAAAUGUUAUGUUUAAAUAUGCAGAUCAGGCGUUUUCAAAAUG